AACGAACGCUGGCGGCAGGCUUAACACAUGCAAGUCGAGCGCCCCGCAAGGGGUGCGGCCGACGGGUGAGUAACGCGUGGGAACGUACCUUUUGGUUCGGAACAACUCCGGGAAACUGGAGCUAAUACCGGAUAAGCCCUAACGGGGAAAGAUUUAUCGCCGAAAGAUCGGCCCGCGUCUGAUUAGCUAGUUGGUGAGGUAACGGCUCACCAAGGCGACGAUCAGUAGCUGGUCUGAGAGGAUGAUCAGCCACACUGGGACUGAGACACGGCCCAGACUCCUACGGGAGGCAGCAGUGGGGAAUAUUGGACAAUGGGCGCAAGCUUGAUCCAGCCAUGCCGCGUGAGUGAUGAAGGCCUUAGGGUUGUAAAGCUCUUUUGUCCGGGAAGAUAAUGACUGUACCGGAAGAAUAAGCCCCGGCUAACUUCGUG
rnacentral:rRNA from 1 species